rnacentral:ribozyme from 1 species
UGUCCAGCAACUCCUAUCCCUACCACCCCGCGGUGCCCUGGAGUACGAGUAACCAAAGGAAAGAUCAGGUAAUCAACCCCGGCGGGACCUUGGUCGUAUGCUGACAGGGAAGG